rnacentral:sRNA from 1 species
ACAACUACAACCGCACGAAACAAGUAUUAAGAACGCGAGUCGCUUGUGACGGCGAGUCUAAGUAAAG